AGGGCACCACCAGGAGGGGACCCUGCGGCUUAAUUUGCCUCAACACGGGAAAACUUACCCGGCCCGAACACUGGAGGGAUUGACAGAUUGAGAGCUCUUUCUUGAUUCAGGGGGUGGGGGUGAAUGGCCGUUCUUGGUGGGGGGAGCAAUUUGCUUGGUUAAUUCCAAUAACAAACGAAACUCUAGCCUACUAAAUAGACUGUUCAGCUUUAUAGCCGGAAUCACCGGAUGCGUAGCUGUCGGGUUGCGUAUUCAGCUCUGGUGACGCUGGCGUGCUUCUUAGAGGGACAGGCGGCGGUUCAGCCGCACGAAACAGAGCAGUAACAGGUCUGUGAUGCCCUUAGAUGUGCGAGGCUGCUCACCCGCUACACUGAAGUGAUCAGCGUGAAAUUGACCUUUAGUGAUCUGUCUACAUUGCCCAACCCGUUGAACCCUCUUCGUGAUUGGUAGAGUCGAUUGUGAUUCCUCCCCUUGUACGCAGCACUCCCAGUCAGCGCGGGUCGCAUGCUACUUUGGAUA
rnacentral:rRNA from 1 species